rnacentral:rRNA from 1 species
UACGGAGGGAGCUAGCGUUGUUCGGAAUUACUGGGCGUAAAGGGCGCGUAGGCGGAUAGUUUAGUCAGAGGUGAAAGCCCAGGGCUCAACCUUGGAAUUGCCUUUGAUACUGGCUAUCUUGAGUACGGGAGAGGUGUGUGGAACUCCGAGUGUAGAGGUGAAAUUCGUAGAUAUUCGGAAGAACACCAGUGGCGAAGGCGACACACUGGCCCGUUACUGACGCUGAGGCGCGAAAGCGUGGGGAGCAAACAGG